CUCUAUAUUUCAACCUCCCCCUGUGCAGCUGUUCUACUUCUACCAUGUUCUUCUUUACUCUUUAGCUACUCUUCGCCUAAACAAUUCAUACCUGUAGCAGAGAUGGACGGGAAUCCUCCAGCGCAAUUAUUUUUGGAGUAUCAGCAGAAUCUAUGCAACGCUCAUAUGAUUUUUGAGAGAUUCGUGUACAAACGGUACUCCUUUUGAUGCCGAGACACUGUAUUCUCAAGGGGAGUUGUGCCAAAUGACAUUGAUGUGCAUGUGCAUCGUAUGCCAGAACAUCUAAAGGUUCUAGCAAGCAAUACGAUAUUCCUCGGUGUAGUAAUCUUUCUCCCCUUUUCAAUAGGCCGAAUCAUUCUCUACUAUAUUUCCUGGUUUUUCUCCACAGCUGCAAGUCCCAUGUUCUCGAUGUUCUCCACUGUUGUUACAAAUUUGUCAUCUGAAACACAUAAAGACGGCUUGCUUUCUCAAGCUUUGGAAGUGGUUGCCGAAACUUCGAAUGCAACUACUACUGGACUAGAUUUAGUUUAAAAAAGUGUCGGAAAAUGACGAGUAGAUGCUAGCUCACGGCUAUCUGAUGCCACUACUCUUGCUACAGGUUGCAUAUUUAUUGUUUCUAUGGUAUUUUUCUAUCUUGGAAUCGUUGCUUUGAUACGCUAUGUUAAGGGUGAGGCUCUGUUUGUGGGGAGACUUUAUGGCAUCACUUUAAUAGCAAAUGCUUAGUAGAGAAUUCCUGAUAGCUAUUAGGAACUUAAUGACUAUGGUCAAGGUUGCAUCUCUUCUGGUAGUUAAGCUUGGGGUUUUUCCUUUGAUGUGCAGUUAUCAUGUGACUAGGAGUAUUUUGUUCAUGAUGAUCCAAGUAUGUAAAGAUUCUGAAAGAUUUUGCCCAGUGAUGAAUGAAACGGCCGGUUUCCAUGUA